CUCCCAAGAACCCCCGCGGCGUUGCGCGCGGGCGUGUCCAAUCCGGCGGCACCAGCGGACCCUGGCGCGCGUCCCGGGCGCUCCCCCAGUUCUGGGGCCGGUUUCCCCGCGGCGGGGGGGGGACCUGAGGUUCGGCUCGCGUGGGGGGCGGGGCGGCCACGGCUCGGAACCGCUCCUGCGAGGGAGCUCGGCCCGGCGUCCACAGAUUGUGUCCUGCCGCUUUCCCUCCUGUUGCACCAGGACUCUGUGCCUCCUCUGAGAGGGCUCUGCCAAAGUGGGCCUAACAGGGCUUGGGAGAAAUUGAGGAGGCCUUGGAAUGAAGAAUUGGCUUUCCCCAUCCUGAAACUCUGAUCUAGGAUAUUCUUGGCCCGCUGUGCUCACUCUGAGGAAGGACGCUUUCUCUCACGAGGUUCUGAAGCUUGUCCAAAGGCAACGGUCAGAAGCCGGAAUUUAGUGAAGUGACAUCUCUGGAUUACUGAGAAAAAACUAUAAUCCAAGAACAUUCCUCCAACCAAUAAUAUAAUUUGUGAAGGUCCAGAAACUCUUUUGGACGUAAAAGGAUUCAGAGAAUACCAGCUAUAUACCAGGUAUUUAGAUAAAUAUCAACACUCAAUAAAAUAGUCUAGCCAAAUUGCACUGGAAAUAAAACUGUAAGAGAGGAGAAAACAGUAAACAAAGAGUGGCCAGCAAUGAAUGUUACUUGGAGUACUAUAUUUAAGUUUAAAUGGAAAUCAUGAAUGGGUCUGGCAAUAAGUAAUGUAAGCAUCAAGUAAAUAAAACUAAAAGCUCUGGACUGUGAGUUUUUAUUACCGUAGUGAAAUGGAAGAAAUGUAAGAACAGGCCGUGAAGGAAGGGAAAGAGAAAGCAAGGAUGGUUUCCUGGAGGAGAGUAGCAAAGAAAAUUAAUGCUGGUUUAGAAAAUAUAACAGUGCUCUUAUUCCAUCCAAAUGAUUAAGAAUGGGGAGAGAACCACUACCCUAAGCAUAGUGGGAAAUUCCAGUUUGGCAAGAGAAAAGGAUCAGCAAACAUAAGGAAAGAAAAGACUAAGAUUACAUAAAUAGUACAUACCAUGUAAAAUGAAAGGAAUAAUUUACUAAAUAAAAAUGAAUUUCUGUACA